rnacentral:rRNA from 1 species
GCUCAGAAUGAACGCUGGCGGCAUGCCUAACACAUGCAAGUCGAACGAAACCUUCGGGUUUAGUGGCGCACGGGUGCGUAACGCGUGGGAAUCUGCCCCUUGGUUCGGAAUAACAGUUGGAAACGACUGCUAAUACCGGAUGAUGACGUAAGUCCAAAGAUUUAUCGCCGAGGGAUGAGCCCGCGUAGGAUUAGGUAGUUGGUGUGGUAAAGGCGCACCAAGCCGACGAUCCUUAGCUGGUCUGAGAGGAUGAUCAGCCACACUGGGACUGAGACACGGCCCAGACUCCUACGGGAGGCAGCAGUGGGGAAUAUUGGACAAUGGGCGAAAGCCUGAUCCAGCAAUGCCGCGUGAGUGAUGAAGGCCUUAGGGUUGUAAAGCUCUUUUACCCGGGAUGAUAAUGACAG